rnacentral:rRNA from 1 species
UAACAAUGAUUCCCUCAGUAACGGCGAGUGAACAGGGAAAAGCUCACAGUUGGAACCUAGCUGCCUUAGGUAGUUCGGAUUGUAAACUGAAAAAGUGUUAUCCAGGCUAGCCGAGUAAAAAAGUUUCUUGGAAUAGAACAUCAUGGAGGGUGAGAAUCCCGUCUUUGGCUUGAGCAUAGUCUUUUGUGUUGCACUUUAACGAGUCAGGUUGUUUGGGAAUGCAGCCUAAAGUGGGAGGUAAAUCCCUCCUAAAGCUAAAUAUUGGCGAGAGACCGAUAGCAAACAAGUACCGUGAGGGAAAGAUGAAAAGAACUUUGAAAAGAGAGUUAAACAGUAUGUGAAAUUGCUAAAAGGGAAGCGUUUGAAGACAGACUAGCUUGGUUAUAAUCAGCCUGGUUUUUUUACUUGGUGUACUUGUGACCUAUGCUUGCCAACAGCAGUUUGGUCUGACUGAAAAAACUGAUAGUAAGGUAGCUCCCUUCGGGGAGUGUUAUAGACUGUUAGAAAAUAAGUUGGACUGGACUGAGGAAUGCAAUGCAGCUUGCCUUAGGGUGAACCAGAUUGAAUGGGAACCAUUGUUCCCUGAAGGUUUGGGUAGCUUUUUGAACUGUAUUUAGGUUGUUGGCUUAAUGUCUUUAAACGGC